CAGUAGCCGCGGUAAUACGGAGGGAGCUAGCGUUGUUCGGAAUUACUGGGCGUAAAGCACACGUAGGCGGUUAUUCAAGUCAGAGGUGAAAGCCCGGGGCUCAACCCCGGAACUGCCUUUGAAACUAGAUGACUGGGAUCUUGGAGAGGUCAGUGGAAUUCCGAGUGUAGAGGUGAAAUUCGUAGAUAUUCGGAAGAACACCAGUGGCGAAGGCGACUGACUGGACAACACUGACGCUGAGGCACGAAAGCGUGGGGAGCAAACAGGAUUAGAUACCCCUGUAGUCCCUGUCUCUUAUACA
rnacentral:rRNA from 1 species